rnacentral:sRNA from 1 species
UAACUAACAAACACGUGUUUGUUUUCUC